rnacentral:lncRNA from 1 species
UAUAUCAUCUUCAUCUUUUCCACAAAAUUUUAGCAAAAAUCAAUACCCAAAAAGUAACCAGAUUACAGCUUCGGCGAGUUAAGGAGCUCAAUUAGGCCAUUAGGGUAUUGCCUCCGAACAAUUUUCAAAACCAUGUUGAACCAUUCCAUUAUCAUCUCCAUACAAGCUGGAAUUAAAAAACUGGUUUUAAGAUAUCAAGCAAUACAAUGUUGAUUUCCACUUGUUUUGAAUCGGUAAUCAGUAGCGGGCCUAGUGUUAUUAAAAACUGGCUGGAUUAGCCAGUUCAACUGGUAAACCAAGCUGUAACUAGGUUGAGUGACUCAUUGGAUCGACUAUGCAUGCACCCCAAUGCAACCUGUUUCUACUCGAUUAAUUGUAGCAAAAACCAUUGACAUGAUCAGUUCAUACUGAAUUUUGCCUCGGUCCUUCUCUAUUUUAAAUCCCCAGAGAGGGGGAGAAUCAAUUUAUAAUUAUACACUAAAUCUUAGCCCCCAUCCCUGUCUUCUUUUCUUUGUUCCUUGUCCUAACUCCUAUUUGCUUUCUACUCCUUUUUUUACAAUUAUUAACAAAUAUAAUAUAGAGGAAGACAUUAAUUGUACAAUAACUACAAAAUAAAUAUCUGAAUCAUUACUUUAAUUUUAGCAACAUUGUUACACAAGCUAGUUAAUUCUGUUAUUAUAUUUUAUCUUAGAAACAUUACUUGUUUUUGUAUUUAUAAAUGCUAUUGGGAUUUACGUUUAUCUGUAUAUUGUUUUCUAGUCUCGCAAUAGCGCCAUAGC